UAACCAUAAAUCUCGGAUGAGAUUUGUCUUGGGCCCUGCAAUCAUGCAUCGCCUCAAACUCAUGGUCUAUUCGUGGACAAGUUCCUUUUGGACGUGCCAUGGAGAUGAUGCUUCUGA
rnacentral:misc_RNA from 1 species